GACGAACGCUGGCGGCGUGCUUAACACAUGCAAGUCGAACGGAAAGGCCCUGCUUUUGUGGGGUGCUCGAGUGGCGAACGGGUGAGCAACACGUGAGUAACCUGCCCUUGACUUUGGGAUAACUUCAGGAAACUGGGGCUAAUACCGGAUAGGAGCUCCUGCUGCAUGGUGGGGGUUGGAAAGUUUCGGCGGUUGGGGUUGGACUCGCGGCUUAUCAGCUUGUUGGUGGGGUAGUGGCUUACCAAGGCUUUGACGGGUAGCCGGCCUGAGAGGGUGACCGGCCACAUUGGGACUGAGAUACGGCCCAGACUCCUACGGGAGGCAGCAGUGGGGAAUAUUGCACAAUGGGCGGAAGCCUGAUGCAGCAACGCCGCGUGCGGGAUGACGGCCUUCGGGUUGUAAACCGCUUUCGCCUGUGACGAAGCGUGAGUGACGGUAAUGGGUAAAGAAGCACCGGCUAACUACGUG
rnacentral:rRNA from 1 species